rnacentral:rRNA from 1 species
GACGGAGGGUGCUAGCGUUGUUCGGAAUCACUGGGCGUAAAGGGCGCGUAGGCGGCCUUUUCAGUCGGGCGUGAAAGCCCGGGGCUCAACCCCGGAACGGCGCCCGAGACGGGAAGGCUGGAGACCGGGAGAGGAGGGUGGAAUAGCCAGUGUAGAGGUGAAAUUCGUAGAUAUUGGCUGGAACACCGGUGGCGAAAGCGGCUCUCUGGCCCGGGUCUGACGCUGAGGCGCGAAAGCGUGGGGAGCAAACAGGAUUAGAUACCCUGGUAGUCCACGCCCUAAACGAUGUGCGCUGGGCGUCGGGGGGCUUGCCCCUCGGUGCCGGAGCCAACGCGGUAAGCGCACCGCCUGGGGAGUACGGCCGCAAGGUUAAA